GCCUUGGUUGGUUGUGUGGCUACUGGAUGUCAGCCUGACUUCUGAGUGAAGGUAGGUCAGUUCGUCCCAGCCCAAGGUGACGAUAGCAACCAGCCAUUGCCUAAAUGGUUGCUGCUCAUCAAGAGCUUUCACCUGUGUAAUCUUGCAAGGCCUCUCCUCUAAGACACAGAAAAUGCAGGGGCUGGAGUUCCCACUGUGAUGCAACGGGAUCGCUGGUGUCUCUGCAGCCAGAAUGCAGGUUCAAUCCCCAGCCUGGCAUAGCGGGUUAAGGAUCCAGCGUUAUAGCACCUGUGGAUUAGGUCACAGCCGUGGCUCAGAUCUGAUCCCUAGCCUGGGAACUUCCAUCUGCUGAGGGGUGGCCAAAAGAAAAGAAAAAAAAAAAUGCAGGGGCCUUCAGAUCAUUUGGACACCAUCUCAUUUUGCAAAGGGGAUGUUCUUUCCGAGGUGCCACAGCCAGUGAGUGGCAGGGCUGGGUCUAAGGCUUCUUCACGUCCUUCACAUUCUUGACUUGAACUUCCUUUGUUCUUGAUCAGGAUCUAUUUUGCUCUGUGUCAUCUUGUUUGCAUUAUCCCACCAGGUCUGUUAAAGUGCUUUGGGAUGAGGAUAACGUUCUGGACGUCUCCACGACUCACCUGCUGCAGAGCAGAGCAUGGCAUGUGGAAUCUACUUAGCAAACAUCGAACUGGCAGGGGAAAGGUUGUUUCCUAGUUUAUCUGGACCAGAAGCACACAGAAUCUUGACUGUACCUUUAACAGUUAGGAAAAAACAAAACAAAACAAAACAAACAAACAAACAAAAAAAACAAGCAUGGAAAACAAGCUCUCAAAGGAAGUAUGAAUGAGAACUUUAAGUGUCAACAUCAUCCUUUAAUCAAUGUUGAAUACUCCUCCUCCUCUGGCAGUAAUAUAC
rnacentral:lncRNA from 1 species